AUUUCUACUUCACCUGAAAAGAAAUACAUACGAAAAAGGAAAAACACGAACAAAACAAAACAAGCCAACGAACACGGGCCAAUGCACCGUCCCUGGAAAUCUUAAGUGAGCAAAGUAUUAGUUUUCAGAAACCGUUUCUAUUUUGGGCAAAUGCUAAGAAGGCCCAGAUUAGAGCUGUGACGCCCUUCCCAUUGUGAAACUAUGUUGGCCGGAGGGAGGAGAAACUAAAACAUCAUGAUAAAAGGUGAUUGAGACCCAGCCAGAGUGAAGCUUUCCUAGGGAGGGAGGCCUGAGGAGGGAAGCGGGGGAAGAAACCCACAACUGCAGACCCGCCCGCUUGCCCACGCGGGUCAAGGGCUAUGCCAUCGGCCCAAGCUGCCUCUGGGGAAGUGGGACCGUGCCACCCCCAUCUUCAAAAACGGUGACCACUGAGUGAGGCCUGACGCCCACCGAUGCAAAUGUCAGCCUGAUGACUGAGGAUUCCACAAAUGAAGGUCAGCAGUAUCUAUUGAGC
rnacentral:lncRNA from 1 species